GAUGAACGCUGGCGGCGUGCCUAAUACAUGCAAGUCGAGCGAACGGACGAGAAGCUUGCUUUUCUGAUGUUAGCGGCGGACGGGUGAGUAACACGUGGUUAACCUACCUAUAAGACUGGGAUAACUUCGGGAAACCGGAGCUGAUACCGGAGAAUAUUUUGAACCGCAUGGUUCAAAAGUGAAAGACGGUCUUGCUGUCACUUAUAGAUGGAUCCGCGCUGCAUUAGCUAGUUGGUAAGGUAACGGCUUACCAAGGCAACGAUGCAUAGCCGACCUGAGAGGGUGAUCGGCCACACUGGAACUGAGACACGGUCCAGACUCCUACGGGAGGCAGCAGUAGGGAAUCUUCCGCAAUGGGCGAAAGCCUGACGGAGCAACGCCGCGUGAGUGAUGAAGGUCUUCGGAUCGUAAAACUCUGUUAUUAGGGAAGAACAUAUGUGUAAGUAACUGUGCACAUCUUGACGGUACCUAAUCAGAAAGCCACGGCUAACUACGUG
rnacentral:rRNA from 1 species